UUUGUAUUUAUACCCCAAUUAAAUCCUUCUAUUCAUGCUCAUUUUUCAACAACAACAAAAAUCUCUGUGAAAGUCUUGGUUAACUUACUUUGGAAAAAGAGAGAAUGAUUCAUACUAGGAGCCAGUGACUCUUGCUUUGCAAUAAAAUGUAAAACAGUGCAAA